rnacentral:lncRNA from 1 species
GCUGUCUAUAAAUAGAGGCAAUCUUUCUUUCUAGAUUCUAUUUUUUAUUCUUGUAAAAUACACAAAAUCUAACAUUACUGUUUGAACACUUUUGUUUCGGGGGAGGUGUGGUGGUACUGGGGAUUGAAGGGGCAAUUAGCCACUGAGCCACAUCCUCAGUCCUUUUUAUUUUUUAUUCAGAGACAGGGUUUCACUAAGUUGCUUAGGGCCUCACUGAGUUGCUGGGGCUGGCCUCAAACUUGUAAUCCACCUGCCUCAGCCUCCAGUCACUGGCAUUACAGGCGUGUACCACUGCACCUGGUCUUGAACACUUUUUAAGUGGAAAAUUUAUGGCAUUAGAUAUACUCACAUUGUUGUUCAACCACCAUUUCCAGAAGUUUUUAUCACUUCAAACAGCACCCAUUAAACCACCACUCCUCAAUCUCUCUCUCCCCCAGCCACUGGCUACUACCAAUUGGCUUUCUAUCUCUAUGGAUUUACCUACUUGAACAUUUCAUAUAAAUACAAUAAAAAUAUAUGGCCUUUGCAUCGUAUUUCAUUAGUAUAAUGUUUUCAAGAUUUAUACACAUUUCGGUAUAUAUCAAAACUUUAGUCAUUUUUUGGGACUGGAUAAUGUUCCAUUGUGUCAAUAUACCACAAUAUACCAUUCACCUUUUGAUGGACUUUUGGGUUGUUCCUGUCUUUUGAUUAUUGUGAUUGAUACUGCUGUGAACAUUUAUGUACAGGCUUUAGUUUGAAC